rnacentral:rRNA from 1 species
AGUGAACGCUGGCGGUAGGCCUAACACAUGCAAGUCGAACGGCAGCACAGUAAGAGCUUGCUCUUACGGGUGGCGAGUGGCGGACGGGUGAGGAAUACAUCGGAAUCUACUUUUUCGUGGGGGAUAACGUAGGGAAACUUACGCUAAUACCGCAUACGACCUACGGGUGAAAGCAGGGGAUCUUCGGACCUUGCGCGAUUGAAUGAGCCGAUGUCGGAUUAGCUAGUUGGCGGGGUAAAGGCCCACCAAGGCGACGAUCCGUAGCUGGUCUGAGAGGAUGAUCAGCCACACUGGAACUGAGACACGGUCCAGACUCCUACGGGAGGCAGCAGUGGGGAAUAUUGGACAAUGGGCGCAAGCCUGAUCCAGCCAUACCGCGUGGGUGAAGAAGGCCUUCGGGUUGUAAAGCCCUUUUGUUGGGGAAGAAAAGCAGCAGGUUAAGACCCCGCUGUUCUGACGGUACCCAAAGAAUAAGCACCGGCUAACUUCGU